CAGUUAGUCAGCAGUGCCGCUCGCGCGCGCUCUGACUUGCCUGGGGUCGUCGCACUCCGAGCGAGAGAUAGAUCGGCGAGAGAGAGAAAGAGAGAGGCCGACGCAUACGGGGCGAGCGCGCUCUCGGCUGAUUUAUUUUAUUAAUUAGGCGACACCGACCGCGACGGCGACGCCGGUGGUAGCGAUCCGGCAGGAGGAUCUCGUCGCGUAUCCUGCGAGAAGGAUACUAAUUUCAUUAGACGGCAGAUGCCGGAGCGUACGUUCGCUCUCUUCCUCUCUCUCGCUCCAGGUUUCUUUUUUCUCCUUUCCAUCGCGCGACAAUUCCGCGACGUGAGGCACCGGAAGCUGUGAUAUCUGCAGUGUGCGACUACCGAGCCGAGCAAUCAUCUCGCCGAGCAGCAGCAGUCACCUGCGUCAGCGCCGGUAUGCAUCUUCGCCGAGGAUUAUAAAUCUAAACUGACCAGCUCGACGAGGGAUCUCGCGUGGAGGUAAAAUAUUGGAGGAAACGCAGAGACGUAUGGGAUACCAGCAGCUCGCCGUAGCGGCAUUGUUCUGCGUCGAAUUCCACACGUCGCCAUCCGCGACGCAUCGCGAUUGGACCCACAAUCCCGAGGAUUCAUCUCUCGGCUUCGACGAAGCGCCGUCAUAUCCCCGUGUACACUUUCCGCGAAGACGUAAAAGUCCUGCCAGGUCGCAGGAGAUACCAUUAGCGCGCCAUUGUUCUCCAAAUAGUGCAAGCCAGCUUGCAACUGGCGUGCCUCGCUCGCCGCAACCAGGUGCAUUGCCCUGGCUGCCUCAUCGUCCUCAUCGUCGUCGAUGAUUGCCCAACAGCUCGGGGUCCAGGAACGUCAGCCGACCAGUCGGCUGUUCUACAAAGGGCGCACGGCUCACGGCUCGAUUAUGAUCCAAGGUCACAUGAGAAGGAGCCGUGAGUAAUCUCAGCUAGCAUUGGUGGUCAACGACACGUUAUGCAACCGCGGCCGUAAUGACGUGCGCACGAUGUCGAACCGCCCGCUCGACGGAUUCGUCCUACUCCUUGUUUCUCGUAAGGAUGCUGCUCGCCCCCGCGGAACAUGAAACAUUACACGAAAACGCUAGGCUCUUGAUGCUGUCCGGAGAUGCGUAGUGCUAUCAACUAGCACACGCGAGGUAGACAGUCUUGAAGUACUGACUUAUCAGAAUUGUUUAUCUCUUCGAUAUCUAAUAAUGUAAUUUAAUAAUGUUUUAUUCAUAAUUCUUUUGUAUUAUUUUUAAGGGAUAAAUUUUGAUAUAUAUUUAAAGCACUUAGAGAUUGUUCUCUCUUUUACGCAGCAUAUACUUUAUAUCGGCCGAAAAAAUUUAGAAAGAGUAAGCGAGAAGCAAGCAAAUACAAAUCACUGAAAAAGAAAUAUUUGCACUGCGAGAGAUAAAGCCGAGAAUGUAAUGAAAAAAAACUACCCUGUUUUUUUUUAGACGCUCGAUCCCGUGUAUAUAGUUGCUUUCAGAUCUGUCCCCGCGAUGAGACACGAGUUUUUUUACCCUCGAAAAUCCGGCGUAUCGACUGGCAACGGUUGCUGAGAAUCUCGCACGUGCUUCUCCACGCUCGAAGAGAAGAGUCCUCGAGAGAGAUGAACGAGAGAAAGCGCGAGGGAAAAAAAGGGAAAAAAGAGCGAGACGGUAAGAUUCUGCGACGUGCCGCGGGCGAAUUUGUUCUGUCGAGGACUCCGAUUGGGGAACCUGAUCGAAUCGUUUUCCGUAAGCGGGAAGCACCGAAAUUCCCGACAAAUUUGUCACACAAAUGAGUUUAAUCAUGCAAUUCUCUCGUAUCAUUCCUUGGAUACAUUAAUUUAAUAUCCAUCGAAAGCUCACGAAAAAAGAUAGCGUUUAAUAUUCUACACAAUCUACUCUACAUACUGAAAAUAAAUUUUAUCAUCUGAUCUCUCGAACGUGUUUUAUUAUAUAUCACACUUUAUAUUGACAGAUUACUCGCAGAACGCAAUGAGAUUUUUAAUGAGAAAUUUAAGUAUUUGCAGAAAUCAAAGAUCUAUCUAACUAGUUAUCAUAUUUUAUGGCAUUUACAUCUUUGCGAGAGCGAUUCAAGUCACAGAAUAUCCUUAUAAACGUACGCUUAACGCGUUGCAUGUUAACAAAUUCGUUACCGUAUCAUUAGCAGGGUCGGCAUUAUCUAGCUUCUCCCGGUAUAUUCGAAUUAUUCAGAGAGACGUGUCUUUCUCAUCAUGAACGUCGUCCGAGAGAAAUGUGACUUUAAUCGCACUACAGCUAAAUGUUUUAUUCCACCGAUAAGUACGGCCUCGUUGGUGAAUAGGCGACGACUGACAGUGACAGAUUCGCUCUCGGCUCUCUAAGCUGCUUACCAGGUUCCCGGUUCCGUACAGUUCCAUCAUUAUCGAAUACCCUUAAUUGCCAACACCGGUGUUCCCAUGCCGGUAGCGUGGCAUGAGCGCGUAUGAACUUGAAAUUGUACAGCCCUGAGACGCAAAUCACGCUCGGCAGCUCGAAAGAGCCUCGAAGCAGCUGUUACGUCGUGGUUCUAUAGCGCGAUUGCAUCCACAUCGUUUCACCGCGAUCGAACGAAGUAACAGGUAUGAAAAUAAAAAUAAUUGCAAAUGAAUUGUAAAAUGACGUAAAAAAACAACAAAAUAGAGAAUGUGUAUCUUGUUACAAAAUUCGCGAGAGUAAAUCAAGAAAAUAGACUGUUAUUUUUCAAGAAGUUCGAUAAUUUCGAUGUUAUCGAUUUCAGCGAUGCCAUCGAUUGUAAUCGGAAGCCAAAAUGUGAGCUAGCAAAUAUUUGCGUCCAUCAUGCAAAACAAAAAAAUAAAAGUCAUCUAUAC